GGGGAAUAUUGCACAAUGGGGGAAACCCUGAUGCAGCAACGCCGCGUGAGUGAUGACGGUCUUCGGAUUGUAAAGCACUUUCAGCGGGGAGGAAGGCGAUAAGGUUAAUAACCUUGUCGAUUGACGUUACCCGCAGAAGAAGCACCGGCUAACUCCGUGCCAGCAGCCGCGGUAAUACGGAGGGUGCAAGCGUUAAUCGGAAUUACUGGGCGUAAAGCGCACGCAGGCGGUCUGUCAAGUCGGAUGUGAAAUCCCCGGGCUCAACCUGGGAACUGCAUCGGAAACUGGCAGGCUAGAGUCUUGUAGAGGGGGGUAGAAUUCCAGGUGUAGCGGUGAAAUGCGUAGAGAUCUGGAGGAAUACCGGUGGCGAAGGCGGCCCCCUGGACAAAGACUGACGCUCAGGUGCGAAAGCGUGGGGAGCAAAC
rnacentral:rRNA from 1 species